UCUAAUAUGGCAGAAUAGUGCGAUGGAUUUAAACCCCAUUUAUAAAGGAUACUUUUUUUAGAA
rnacentral:tRNA from 1 species